UACAGAGGGUGCGAGCGUUAAUCGGAAUUACUGGGCGUAAAGCGUGCGUAGACGGUUAUUUAAGUCGGAUGUGAAAGCCCCGGGCUCAACCUGGGAAUUGCAUUCGAGACUGAAUAGCUAGGGUGCGGAAGAGGGAAGCGGAAUUUCCGGUGUAGCGGUGAAAUGCGUAGAUAUCGGAAGGAACAUCAGUGGCGAAAGCGGCUUCCUGGUCCAGCACCGACGUUCAGGCACGAAAGCGUGGGGAGCAAACAGG
rnacentral:rRNA from 1 species